rnacentral:lncRNA from 1 species
CACACACUUUAUAUCCUGUUGGUGUGGGUCCAGCAGGACUUGGCAGUUCCUUCACUUCCAACUCUCCCACCUCCAAAGGAUUGCUCUGUCCACUAACAGCAAAAGCCUGCCGACCGCAUGUUCUAGUGAUAUUUUGGAGAGAAUUGUCACUUUCAGACAAGUAAAAUCCAUCACCCUUCUAUCUAUAUUUGGCUUGUAGGCUUAGGGAAGUGUGAUGGCAGUUAUUAGCUGCUCAACGCAAAUCCUGCAGCCUGCAAAACAUUGAGAGGUGCCUGCAUCCUCAUUUAUCUUUGCUUGCGUAUCAUUCCCUAUAUUAUAUUUGGGCUCUUUCUAAAGAUUCGGUGUUAUUGUUAACUCUUAUGAUUUCUUUGCGUUUAAAGUUAUAGGGAUUCAUGGACUCUCCAUCUCGGCAUCAAAAGAUGCUAAACUGCUAGGCACAUAUAGGAUAAUUAUAUCACACUUCCGUGAUCAAGAGGUGAAGGAAUAAAACACCUCAACCAUUAAUGCCAGGAGCAAUGGCUUCCACUUUGAAACUGCUGCACUUCUGAUGUGUAGAUAUUGCAGAAGAGACAGAAUUAUUAACUGCACAGUGAUAGGUUUUUGAGUGCACCUUGUCCUUCAAGGUCUGUCAAUGAACACAAAGCCAAUAACCUGUUUGCACAAGGUAACUGAAUACAUUUCACCUCGAUAACUGGUGAUGAGCCAUAACUUUUCCAUGUGCUUCUUUGCAAAUGGCGGAACAUGGUAUACAAAGGAAUGGACAUUCAGGGCUGUGGCCUCAAUUGAACUGAAGGAGGAAAAUGCUUGUGCAGGACAUUAUCUUGGCACCAUUGUCUUGGAAUACAUUCAUGCGUGAAGGUGGCAGGAACAAAAUGAACAGAUCCCUUUUUAUUCUUCCUAAAAAGAUGACCAGGGGUCUGGAAAUCAAGCCUUAUAAGGAAAGGUUGAAGGAGCUGGGAAUGUUUAACCUGGAAAAGAGGAGAUUGAGAGGAGAUAUGAUAGCCAUCUUCAAAUAUCUCAAGGGCUGUCACAUGGAAGAGGGAACAAGCUUGUUUUCUCCUGCUCUGGAGGGUAGGACUCGAACCAAUGGCUUCAAGUUACAAGAAAGGAGAUUCUGACUAAACAUCAGGAAUUACUUUCUAACACUAAGAGCUGUUGGACAGUGGAACAGUCUCCCUCUUGAAGUUGUGGACUCUCCUUCCUUAAGCAGAAGUUGGAUGGUCAUCUGUCAUGGAUGCUUUAGCUGAGAUUCCUGCAUUGCAAGGGGUUGGACUCUUCCAACUCUACAAUUUUAUGAUUCUAUGAAAAGAAAAAGACAGAAAGGGGGACAUGGUUGUUCCCUUCCCUCUGCCCGGUUGGCCUUCUCUCUUCUCACCUUACCAGGUGUUGGUGGUGACAGCAGCAGUCACCGCAACAGCCUUCAUCUCCCGCUUUCUUCUCACAGCAGAGGGUGCGGCUCUUGGGCAGUGAAGAAGCUCUAGAUCAGGGCACUUAACCCAUUAUGACCCAAGGGACACAUUCACCCUGGACCAAGCCUCUGGGGGGGCCAACAAUGGAUGUGGCUAUCCCACACUCUCUCACAUGCACACACAUCCCCACAGGCAGGAUGGGGGAGAAAUGCAGUUCCUUUCGCGCUUAAAGGCAAAUCUAUUGAAUUUGAACUUCCCAAAACAAUAUGAGAGAGAGAGCUAACACGCACCCACUGUUUACAAUUCGCACUUAUCUGAACUUUGCAAUGCAGUUAGUUAGCAAAAAAAAGAUGUGUAUAUUAAAGUGCACAUAAAAAUGCAUAUAUUGGUGGAAAGAACACACAAAUAGCAUUAAAUUAGGAGAAAUUGCUUGCAAAAAUGUGUGCAUUACUUCAAGCUGCAUACACAUUUUUGUGUUCACUAGGAGAAAUUUGCACUAAAAUGCUGAUGAAUUUGCAUGAGGAUUUUUAAUUAUUAUUUAAAAGAAAUCACAAAUGGAUGCAGAAAUGCAGAAAACUGAAUUUGAUGGGGAAAGUUAGAAACAGGUACAACCAAAAUGGACAGGUCCGAAACCGCCCCCCCCCCCAAGCCACAGGAUGCACAGAAGCAGAUGAAUUCCAACUCGGUUGAUUUGUGCUAUUUUCUGCUCUCCAUCCACCAAUUGAUUGUUUUUCUUUUCACAUGAGCCCAGAGGCACAGCACUCUGGGAAAUGAACCUGGUAGGCACAACUGCUUGAAGCGUCUUUGCUCCACAGCAGUAGCAGUCUGUGAAAAGUAAAUAAAUGGGUAGGGAAGACAUUGUAGUGACUGCCAGAGGUGCAACACUGUUCUUUUGUAGCAGGGGCUGGUUUGUGGUGCCUGGUGGUACCAUUGGCACACAGCCUAAGGCAAGAACAGCUAGUUCAUAUAGAUAGAAAAUGCACAAUAAUCAGCACACACUAAAUAAAACAAAUAGCAUUUUUUUUGGGGGGGGGGGAGAUAAACCUUCAAUUUAAGAUAAGGCCAGGACUGUCACAGAAUUAAUUAUUUGCUAAAUGCAGGAUAAAAUAACAUUUCAACCAAGUUAUAUUACUUCUGCUUUUGCUUGUUUUCAGUCCUGAAAAAUGAAAUAUAAAACCAAUGGGGCUGAGAUCUGAUCAACACAUUCAGGAAGAUCAUUUUAUAAAGCCCUCUUGGAAUGGUAUGACUUAGAAAUGCAGUGACCGGUUGCAUAUUCAAAUAAUCUCCUCUGUGGCAAAUGCCCCGAACACAGAAAACUCUGGUAGGGCUACAGCAGAAACCAUUCAUCCUAAGAGGCCCA